rnacentral:rRNA from 1 species
CGGGAUAACCCGGAGAAAUCCGGCCUAAUACCGCAUGUGGCCGAGGGGAGGCAUCUUCUUUCGGCCAAAGGAGGCAACUCCGGAGACGGAUGGGCAUGCGUGACAUUAGCUUGUUGGCGGGGUAACGGCCCACCAAGGCGACGAUGUCUAGGGGUUCUGAGAGGAAGGUCCCCCACACUGGUACUGAGACACGGACCAGACUCCUACGGGAGGCAGCAGUGAGGAAUAUUGGUCAAUGGGCGAGAGCCUGAACCAGCCAAGUCGCGUGAAGGAUGACGGCCCUACGGGUUGUAAACUUCUUUUGUCAGGGAGCAAUUGAGUCCACGUGUGGGCUUAGCGAGAGUACCUGAAGAAAAAGCAUCGGCUAACUCCGUGCCAGCAGCCGCGGUAAUACGGAGGAUGCGAGCGUUAUCCGGAUUUAUUGGGUUUAAAGGGUGCGUAGGCGGAAUAUCAAGUCAGCGGUAAAAAUUCGGGGCUCAACCCCGUCGUGCCGUUGAAACUGAUGUUCUUGAGUGGGCGAGAAGUAUGCGGAAUGCGUGGUGUAGCGGUGAAAUGCAUAGAUAUCACGCAGAACUCCGAUUGCGAAGGCAGCAUACCGGCGCCCAACUGACGCUGAAGCACGAAAGCGUGGGUAUCGAACAGGAUUAGAUACCCUGGUAGUCCACGCAGUAAACGAUGAA